GUCACUUUCACUAUCACUGUCACUGCCACUAUCACUAGAGCUGCCUGCCUGCCUGUCACUAUUGUCAGAGACUUUCUUCUCACCAAACAAAUCAGGUAAAUGCUGUUGGAUAUCAAUUUUUUCUAAUGUAUUUGAUUCNNNNNNUUUAGAGUUUGACUGGGCAUGUUUCUCAAAUCCAACAGCAGAGCUUUUCUCUGCAAAUCUUGAUUCUGUAGCAGGUCUGUGAUUAUGGUUGUCUUCAGGAACAAAAGUCUGCCGAUGGUCAUCUUCAGGAGAACUUCCACUUUCAGAUGAGGGUUUCUUGAAGCUUUCCAACUCCACUCCUGGUUUCGACAAAUAUCUUCCUGAAGCUUGAGAAGUUCCAAUUUUCUUCAUAAUGGGUUCUGUCUUCUUAGUAGAGUUAGGAAUUUUAUCCCCAACAACUUUCUCCAAGGCCUUCAAGCUCAUCCCUUUAGGAUCCUUACUCUGUAAAUCCAUUGGCUUAGUCCCAAAGUUCCCUUUAUGCCCAGGUGUCUCCCGUACAGCUCUAAAAGCCUUAUUAUGGAUUUCUUUCUCUGCAUUAGUCACGUUCUCUUUACUUCUAGUCUGGGUCGGUGUCACUUCUUCAAUGUUCACCUUAGACACAUUUCCAGUUCCAAACGGAGAUGCUGGAGUGACAGAUUUCUCAGGUGUACAUGGCAGAGGUGAAGAUGAGCGUCUACCCUUUACAGUAGCGGUUGAAGAAACUCCAGGUUUAAAAGUAGAUUUGGGGACUACUGAUUCAACUUUCCGUUUUUUAAAUGGAGGCUCUUUCUUUUUAAAGGGCAUCCUCCAUGGAUUAGACUCAGCAGCUGCCAAUUGCUUUAUUUGACUCUUCAUGGAUGGGUUCCCAUGAUCUAACACAAUAGCUUUGCGUGAUUUAUGUUUGCGAUCAGCUUCCUCUGACCGCAUCUUAACAUGGUUCGUGGUUGAUUCAUCCAAGAUACGUUGGACAUUCACCUUACGCCAGGCACAACCAGAUUCAACAAGCAAACCAUUUCCUUCUUCACCACUUUGUCGUUCUUCAUAAAUGUCACAGAGGUCACCAAAUUCCCUCGACCAUGUAAAUCUGAAUUCCUU
rnacentral:misc_RNA from 1 species